GCAUUUCUCUGUUACAUUAAUUAGAACGCACAUGUUCGAACGUCACGAUGGACACUAAAUUCGGACAGGCCAGACUUCCGAUGACUAAAGUUGGAAUCAUUAUCGACUCGGAGGAAUUGUGCCCAGAGGAAGAUUCUGAAGGCCCUGCGGCAUCAAUUAUUAGAGCUGUUUGCCAUGUUUCUAGUAACGGCACAACUUAUUGGAACGCCAGUAUUAGAUGUCAAGAUGAUAUCACUCGACAAUUAAUGGAAAUAUUGAUGGCAAGUUACACCAUGAUUACUUUAGAUGCUUUUACAGAUAUGAAGAGGUAGACCGCGGCGGUUUGUAUUAACGUGUGAAUGAAUGGCAACUACGCGCAACAGAGGUUCUAUGGCUUUCUCAGUUCUUCACGUCUUCUGGUCACACGAACUCUCAGAAUGGUCUGGUUUAAUGAUUGUGUAGGAAAAAAAAUAUCGUCCUUGUCUAGUUUAACCGACACUUUUGACUUUUUUUUAACCUGUUUGAAAUACGAGAUAAAUAAUCACAAGAGAGUUCGGAAGAAGCCCAGCGAUCGACGUUUAGUCAUUGUCUGAUCGUAUUGGCAUAUUUUUCACAGAAAUGUACAUGUAAACAUAUAAGCCUUAACUCUAGAACAAUAUUUAAAAACGUUGUGAUUAUUUUCAUUCAGUUUACCCGACCUUUCGUGAAUAAAGGGGCAUGUUUUCACAAAAUAUUGUUUAACCCCAAAAACCGACUCGACGGGAAGAUCCGAUUGAACAAAAUGAGCCUACGCCUAUUUAACUUUACGUCAUC